rnacentral:lncRNA from 1 species
ACCAUUCACGCGGGCCGUAUGAAGGUGUAACCGGAUUCCUUUGAUUUCUUAAGUCCAGGCGGGCCGCGUAAGGCCACACCGUUAGUUUACGCGGGCCGCGAGUGUCCCUAUUAGUGGCGCAGCCCGGUGAUGACACGUGUCAUCAUCGUGGCGGGUCUAGAGGGUGAGCCGGACAAGCUAGUCCGUUGACCAGGGUUGACGCGGGCCGCGUAACCCCUGUCCUUUCUUUACGCGGGCCGCGUGGGAACCAGAAUCAGCACCUAUAUAAGCAGGCAUCGGGUUUCAGUAUUCCUCGUUCAUUUCUUUUUCUUUCUAAACGAAUUCUGAAGUAGUAGAAGUGAUACGCGGGUAUUAUACCCCCUAAUUAGCAAAGCUCUGCCUCGUUAUUAUAACCAGGAAGUCACAGAGGAUAGCCCUAUAAUAGCAAUGUGAGUUGAUCCUUCUUUUUAUGAACUCAUUUUUGUAACUUAGUGUAAAGCCAAUAGAAGCCAGCUGGAGAGCACUGAAGGCUUGGAAAAGUGGCAAUAAAGUUACCUAAAAUAAAAUAGAUGUUUUUAUUAAAUAA